GUCGCCGAAGUCCUCGGUGAGGACCGGGCCGCUCCACCCGGCCGCCCUGCCGUCGCCGGCGCUCCGGCUCCCCGUGGCGGUCCC
rnacentral:tRNA from 1 species